rnacentral:rRNA from 1 species
UGGGGAAUAUUGGACAAUGGGCGCAAGCCUGAUCCAGCCAUGCCGCGUGGGUGAAGAAGGCCUUAGGGUUGUAAAUCCCUUUCAGCGGGGAAGAUAAUGACGGUACCCGCAGAAGAAGCCCCGGCUAACUCCGUGCCAGCAGCCGCGGUAAUACGGAGGGGGCUAGCGUUGUUCGGAAUUACUGGGCGUAAAGCGCGCGUAGGCGGACCUGCAAGUCGGGGGUGAAAGCCCGAGGCUCAACCUCGGAACUGCCUUCGAUACUGCAGGUCUUGAGUCCGGGAGAGGUGAGUGGAAUUCCUAGUGUAGAGGUGAAAUUCGUAGAUAUUAGGAAGAACACCAGUGGCGAAGGCGGCUCACUGGCCCGGUACUGACGCUGAGGCGCGAAAGCGUGGGGAGCAAACAGGAUUAGAUACCCCCGUAGUCC